UACGUAGGGUCCAAGCGUUGUCCGGAUUUAUUGGGCGUAAAGAGCUCGUAGGCGGCUCGGUAAGUCGGAUGUGAAACCUCCAGGCUCAACCUGGAGUCGCCAUCCGAUACUGCUGUGGCUUGAGUCCGGUAGGGGAGCAUGGAAUUCCUGGUGUAGCGGUGAAAUGCGCAGAUAUCAGGAGGAACACCAGUGGCGAAGGCGGUGCUCUGGGCCGGUACUGAC
rnacentral:rRNA from 1 species